rnacentral:rRNA from 1 species
UACGUAGGUGGCAAGCGUUGUCCGGAUUUACUGGGUGUAAAGGGCAUGCAGCCGGGAAGACAAGUCAGAUGUGAAAUCCCGCGGCUCAACCGCGGAACUGCAUUUGAAACUGUUUUUCUUGAGUACCGGAGAGGUCAUCGGAAUUCCUUGUGUAGCGGUGAAAUGCGUAGAUAUAAGGAAGAACACCAGUGGCGAAGGCGGAUGACUGGACGGCAACUGACGGUGAGGCGCGAAAGCGUGGGGAGCAAACAGG